GUAGUUAGCCGGGGCUUCCUUGCAGGGUACCGUCAUUUGUUUCGUCCCCUGCGACAGAGAUUUACAACCCGAAGGCCUUCUUCUCUCACGCGGCGUUGCUGGGUCAGGCUUGCGCCCAUUGCCCAAUAUUCCCCACUGCUGCCUCCCGUAGGAGUCUGGACCGUGUCUCAGUUCCAGUGUGGCCGAUCAGCCUCUCAGCUCGGCUACCCAUCGUUGACUUGGUGGGCCGUUACCUCACCAACUAUCUAAUGGGACGCGAACCCCUCCCAAAGCGGAUUGCUCCUUUGACCUCAUCCCGAUGCCGGGUCGUGGUCUUAUGCGGUAUUAGCACUUGUUUCCAGGUGUUAUCCCCCUCUUUGGGUCAGAUUGUUCACGCGUUACUCACCCGUCCGCCACUAGACUUGAAAGCAAGCUCUCAAGUCCCGUUCGACUUGCAUGUGUUAGGCACGCCGCCAGCGUUCGUCCUAAGCCAGGAUCAAAUUCUGA
rnacentral:rRNA from 1 species